GCCGGGUAUGGUUCUCAAUCAGGGACAGCUGUCUAUCGUUGUCUCUGAUUGGGAAUCAUACUUAGGCAGCAUUUUUUCCUUUGUAUUUUGUGGGUAGUUAUCUUGGUUAGUGGCACUAUAGCCUUAGGAAGCGGCACGGUUGGGGUUUUGUUGGCAACAUUGACAUAAAUAAAGGAAAAUGUACGCUCACCACGCUGCACCUUGGUCCGGUCAUUUCCAAGACGACGGCCGCGACACCGAUAUUCGUUACAAUACUCAUUUUGUCCGACUACUCGGUACACCUCUAGUAAAUAUCUCCUGCUCCGUGUUAGCUGAUCUUCGGCUUGUUUUCAAAGAUGUCCUGCUUCCUGGUAACUGAAUUUAGGCUCUUUUUCAAUUGUCUAACAAGUAUAUCCUCUCCUCACCACCUCUCAUUGCAUUGAUCGGAAAUAACUGUUUCGGAUAAAAGUCCAUGAGGAUCUUCCAGCAUAUUGUUUUCCCCUGUCAAGUCUCUUCCAAAUCAAUACAGGUGGAAGGGAAUGAGGAGACAGAUUUUUAAAUCAACUGCGUAUAUACAACACCAAAUAUGGCUGUGGCAGAAGGCGUAGAUGACCAGAGCCUUACCCAGCACGCCCAACAUGAGGAUGACGGAGAGGAUGAUUUAGAGCGCAUGUCAAAUGUAUAUAUUUUUUUUUGUAAUUGUGUGGUAUACAUUUUAUAGCAAUCUAAAUAUUUAUUGAAAGUGUGUUUUUAAAUAUAUUUUGUUCUCAAAGCUAUUUCAAAUAAAUUACAAUAAAGAGAAUGUAUUUUUUUUUUUUUGUCUCUCAGCUCCAUGUCCAAAUGCAGCAGGGUGGCAAGGUUGUACAACAGUUUGUUUGUGCUUUGUUCUGCCGUCCCCCAGGACCGAGUUCUGCCGGCCCCCAGGGCCGAGUUUGGGAAACACUGGGCUAAAGCACAAACCGACUGGAACACCAACCUAGUGAAAUGUUGAUGUGUACCAUCACAUAUUGGUUUUCAUAGUUAGUAUGACCUUUUAUUUAGUAACCCAGCGCUGGGUAAAUACUGGAUAGGACACACAUGGGGUUAUUUUGACCCAGCUAGUUGGGUUGAGUGAAUAGUAUAAUCUGUAUAGCACUUUUUUUUAUAUAGG